AACCCAUGUUAAGGACAUUUCUGCAGGAGCUCCAUGGACCUAUCCCAUGUCUCAAAUAGAGACUCUAAUUUUCUUUACACUAAAGAGGAUAUUUCAUUCCUAAGCUU